CUUAUUUCAAGUUGGUCGGCCCCAAUGGUGUGUGCCAUCAGAUCCCACCGGGCUCAUUUUGCACUAUAAACAUCCUUUUCAUCCCUGAGGGGAGCAAGUUACUUUUCCUGCAGGAUCAUUUCCACCAGCUUGUCUGCAUCAGCAAAAGGGAAAAGCUCACUGUGCCAAUCCGAGCCAUUGGUGCCCGCCCAGUCUUGGACUUCCCUGACCAGCUGGACUUCUCGUCGUGUCCAGUCAACCACAGCACCCAGAAGACUCUGCUGGUUCACAACACCGGGAACCUGGAAGCCUGUUACAGCCUCAGCACUGAGAGCCCUUUCACUGUCAGCCCAGCCACGGGAACCCUCGAUGUUGGUGAAGCCAAGCAAGUGACAGUGGAAUAUCACCCGCUGCAGACCGGGCACCAUUCCACAUCCCUGGCAGUGCACUGCGACAGAGGUGAAGAUACCCACACCAGACUUCUUGGAAAAGCUAAGGACUUCAGCAUCGGGCUGGACAAGUACUCUUUGGAACUUGUCAAGCCACAGAACCCCGGCCAUCCACAACAGAAGUAACAUCACAGCCCGAUUCCAGUGGAAGGCUUUUGCUACUGAGGCAGAGGAGUAUCCACAGAAGAUCAGGCUGUGUCACAAUCUGUCUCGGCCACCCCAGGAGAUAGCAAAGGCUCUUGUGAUGAAGCGCUAUGAGGAACUGGACCUUUACGACCGCGA